GGCCUUCCUAUUCGAAACCGGCGAAAACAUGUCCGGCAUGCCCGACCUGUGCGCCGCCGUGUGCCGUCACACCGCCAUCCGUUUCGCCGACACCCGCGUGUCCGACAGCGCCCUCAUCCAACUGCACGGAUAAUCCAUGCUACUUUCAAUCGCUGCCUUAUACCUGCACGGCGGAACAGUGCGCCACCUUACCGGAUAAUGCACUGGGCACAAAGGCGAUUAUUUUCGGCGUCCCGGACCGAGUUUGCAUUACGUCCUGCCAGCUGCAGACAAGUGGAGACGCUGGAUUUAUCUUGUUCCAGUUCGGCGCUUGUACCCUCACUGAUGACCUUUCGACCCAAAAUUUAGCCGGAACUGGCCCAAAUGUCGCUUCUUCGUUAAGCUGUACAAGUCCGACUUCCGGUACCGGCUGCUUCAAAGCAGAUAUAGAUCGGAUCGUAACCAGAUCGGACACUAACUGCAACACCGCGACCUUUUCGCAGGAUACAACGCUGAGCUGUAAGCUGUCCCUGGGCAGACCUAGCCAGCCGGAAAUAGCCGAAGCAACCUUUGAUAUAUUCAUCAAAUACACGACAGCCUGCACGGAUCCGACUCCAUAACAAGAUGUUGCACGCUUUAUUAAUAAACAUCAAGAUCAGUCUGGGACCGGAUAUGGAUGAUAGUGCUGCAGUGCAUAUCUUCGUUUUAUAAAUUAAACAGUUGUAGUGACAACAGUUAAGAGCUGCAUUAACUUAUGCAAGAAAAAAAGAUGUGCUGAUCUAAACUUCAAAUUUUCCAACAUUGACAGCCACAUUGUUAACCGUUUGAUACUAAGUAAUUAAUUAAUAAAAAUAAAUAGU